rnacentral:rRNA from 1 species
CCUACUUUAGUCAUCAGUUAUUAAUAUUUUUCAAUUUGCUCGAGCCUGAACCAGCCAAUUAUCUUGAAUGAUGACUGCCCUACGGGUUGUAAACUUCUUUUAUAAAGGAAUAAAGUGAGGCACGUGUGCCUUUUUGUAUGUACUUUAUGAAUAAGGAUCGGCUAACUCCGUGCCAGCAGCCGCGGUAAUACGGAGGAUCCGAGCGUUAUCCGGAUUUAUUGGGUUUAAAGGGAGCGUAGAUGGGUUGUUAAGUCAGUUGUGAAAGUUUGCGGCUCAACCGUAAAAUUGCAAUUGAUACUGGCAGCCUUGAGUACAGUUGAGGUAGGCGGAAUUCGUGGUGUAGCGGUGAAAUGCUUAGAUAUCACGAAGAACUCCGAUUGCGAAGGCAGCCUACUAAACUGCCACUGACAUUGAUGCUCGAAAGUGUGGGUAUCAAACAGGAUUAGAUACCCGAGUAGUC